GUAAGGAAUAUUGGUCAAUGGGGGCAACCCUGAACCAACCAUGCCGCGUGAAGGAUGAAGGCGUUAUGCGUUGUAAACUUCUUUUGUAUGGGAAGAAUGACAGGGAUUCAUCCUUGGAGAGACGGUACCAUACGAAUAAGCACCGGCUAACUCCGUGCCAGCAGCCGCGGUACUACGGAGGGUGCAAGCGUUAUCCGGAAUCACUGGGUUUAAAGGGUACGUAGGCGGUUAAUUAAGUCAGUAGUGAAAGACUGUCGCUCAACGACGGAUGUGCUAUUGAUACUGGUUAACUUGAAUCAGGGUAGAGUUGGCGGAAUGGGUCAUGUAGCGGUGAAAUGCUUAGAUAUGGCACAGAACACCAAUUGCGAAGGCAGCUCACUAAGGCGAUACUGACGCUGAGGCACGAAAGCGUGGGGAUCGAACAGGAUUAGAAACCCUAGUAGUCC
rnacentral:rRNA from 1 species